GACGAACGCUGGCGGCGGGCCUAACACAUGCAAGUCGAACGGAAACGCCCUGCUUUCGUGGUGUGCUCGAGUGGCGAACGGGUGAGUAACACGUGAGUAUCCUGCCCUCGACUUUGGGAUAACUUCAGGAAACUGGGGCUAAUACCGUAUAGGAGCCCCCGCUGCAUGGAGGGGGUUGGAACUUUUGGGCUGGUGGGGAUGGACGCGCGGCUUAUCAGUUUGUUGGUGGGGGAGUGGCUUACCAAGGCAUUGACGGGUAGGCGGCCUGAGAGGGUGACCGGGCGCAUUGGGACUAAGAUACGGCGCAGACGCCUACAGGGGACAACAGUGGGGAAUAUUGCACAAUGAGCGGAAGCCUGAUGAAGAGACGCCGCGUGCGGGAAGACGGCCUGCGGGUUGUGAACCGCUGUCGCCUAUGACGAAGCGUGUGUGACGGUAAUGAGUGAAGAAGCACCGGCUAACUACGUG
rnacentral:rRNA from 1 species